GAUGAACGCUGGCGGCGUGCCUAAUACAUGCAAGUCGAGCGAACAGACGAGGAGCUUGCUCCUCUGACGUUAGCGGCGGACGGGUGAGUAACACGUGGAUAACCUACCUAUAAGACUGGGAUAACUUCGGGAAACCGGAGCUAAUACCGGAUAAUAUAUUGAACCGCAUGGUUCAAUAGUGAAAGACGGUUUUGCUGUCACUUAUAGAUGGAUCCGCGCCGCAUUAGCUAGUUGGUAAGGUAACGGCUUACCAAGGCAACGAUGCGUAGCCGACCUGAGAGGGUGAUCGGCCACACUGGAACUGAGACACGGUCCAGACUCCUAAGGGAGGCAGCAGUAGGGAAUCUUCCGCAAUGGGCGAAAGCUUGACGGAGCAACGCCGCGUGAGUGAUGAAGGUCUUCGGAUCGUAAAACUCUGUUAUUAGGGAAGAACAAAUGUGUAAGUAACUAUGCACGUCUUGACGGUACCUAAUCAGAAAGCCACGGCUAACUACGUG
rnacentral:rRNA from 1 species